rnacentral:rRNA from 1 species
CGAGUGAACUAGCUAGCUGAAAUCACUUGUGUGUCACUUGUGAUAACGUAAGGGAAAAUAAUGAUAUUACCUUACUAUUAGUGUCGUCCAAAACUGGUGCCAGAAGACUCGGUAAGGCCAGAGACGCAAACGUUAGUCGUCUUAAUCAGGCGUAAAGGGUUUGUAGGCUGCUUUGAAAAUUUUACAUUCACUAUAGCCAAAGUAAAUGUAAGAUGAAUUAAAGCUAGAAUCAAAUAGAGGUUAUAUUGAAUAAUACUUAGAGGAGGGAUUAAAUCCUUAGAUCCUAGAGGGGAAUACUAAAGGCGAAAGCUUUUUUACCACUAAUGAUUGACGCUGAGAAACGGAGGUGAGGAUAGGAAAUAGGAUUAGAUACCCCGGUACCCCUCUCUGUCAACGAUGAAUGGUAGUUAUUAGUUUAAUAGAAUUAGUGACGAUGUUAACACGAUAACCAUUCCGCCUUGUGAGUACGAUUGCAAAAUUGAAAACCANAAAAUUANUCGNUCUCGAANCAANCGGAG